UCAAUAACAUUUAAAUGAGAC
ensembl:piRNA 21ur-3518 ncRNA